CCCUUAGAUGUUCUGGGCCGCACGCGCGCUACACUGAUUCAUGCAACAAGUUUUGUCCUUGGCUGAUAGGCCUGGGUAAUCUUUGAACGUGAAUCGUGAUGGGGAUAGAUGAUUGCAAUUAUUCAUCUUCAACGAGGAAUUCCUAGUAAACGCAAGUCAUCAGCUUGCAUUGAUUACGUCCCUGCCCUUUGUACACACCGCCCGUCGCACCUACCGAUUGAAUGGUCCGGUGAAAUCUCCGGACUGGCGUGAGUCGGAGCAAUCUGACAAACACCGGAAAGUUGAUUAAACCUUACCAUUUAGAGGAAGGUGAANUCGUANCA
rnacentral:rRNA from 1 species